GGCCGCCUGGCGUAAUGGCAACGCGUCUGACUACGACGGGCGUCCCCCACGAGAUGCUUACGUAAUGUGCGAUCGAUCAGGAGAUUGCAGGUUCGACCCCUGCGGUGGUCA
rnacentral:tRNA from 1 species